UCUCAUGUGGUCUAAUGGUUACGAUGGCCGAAUAUCACGAAGUGUAGAUAUCGGUUGAUCGGGGUUCGAGUCCCCGCAUGAGCG